ACAUAUAUAUAAAUAUGUAAUAUAAAAUAUAACCUAAAAGAUCGAAGAAUUACCAUCAUUCAGCUAUCGUUGAUCACAGGAAAACUCGUGGUAGAAGAAACAAUGGGAGACAUCGGCAUGGUGAUUGAGCUAAUCGAACGUCGCAGUUUGAUCUUCGUUAACGAUGUUUUAGUCUGAAACAACAUAACCAUAGAAACAACGAUAUAAAGACCGGAAAUUAGAAACCGGACGCGGUGAAAAUAUGAAAUGUAAAAAGAGAGAAGGGGAAAUGAAAGGAAAUGGGAAAAGGUUUGCGCAUAAAUUAGUCGGACAUUUCCAUUAUUUAUAAUAAAUUAAGUAUACCGGAAUGCAAUAAGUAACGAUUAAUAAUGGCAGGUUUAUCAGUACAUUUGAUAUACGAAGUGUUCCCAUUUAAUAUCUCAUAAUUUUUCACUCGUUCAUGACGGUUUAAUAAGAGAAGUUAUUUGUUCAUCAAAAUUUAUUUACGUAAAUUAAACUAUGUCUAUUUAACAAAGUUUAGUUAUUUGAUAAUUAUAACUGUGGAUCUUUCUCUAGUAAAAUAUGGAGAAGAAUGUUUGAGAUUUUAUGAACUAUGCUUUUUACGUGGAAAA